GGCCGAAUGGUCUAGUGGUUUGAUUCUCGCUUUGGGUGCGACAAGUCCCGGUUCAAUCCCCGGUUCGGCCC
ensembl:tRNA